GAAACCGUGGCGGGCAGAGCGGCCCAAGCGUUUCAAAGUAGCGACACACGGAAAGAAGAAACAUGAUGGCAGAGUCUACGCUAGAGCUGAAGAGGAUGAACACCUUUGGCCUCACAUACAAAGAAUGUUUCGCUUAAAAGCAGCACAAAAGAACAGCUGUGUCUGCAGUGUCGGUGUCUUCAGGGAGAGCCAAAACAAACCAACUUUUCAGCGUUAAAUCAGCUCGUAACCUGAGGAAACGGUCUCCACUUCAUCAGACAUCACCUAGACACAGAGCUGGGUGAGGCCAGCACAAACAGCGGCCUAUUCGAUGAAGAUGAUGGAUCCAUGGGGUCAGGAAAGCCAGUAGCAGAGGAACUGGAGAGGUACCUUUCAUGUCCAUUCACUGGAGGUGUGGAUCUAUUGCAUGGCUUUCCUCACAUCAAGAAGCUGUCAAUCAAAGUCAAUACAGCUCUUCCUGCAUCUGCAGCCUGUGAGAGACUUUUUAGUCAUGCAGGACUCCUGUUCACUGCCAAACGGUCACAGCUUCACAGCAAGAACCUUGAGAGCCAACUGCUGCUGAAGCUGAACCACCAUUUCACUGACUGAAGAAACAAUUUAUGGUAAA